CUGCACUCCAGGUGGACAAUAACUCAAGGGGCAUGAGGAAUUCAAAGUGGACUAAAGGCAGUUUUAAUUGGGAAUUCAGUGGAACCAUUGUUGCUGUCUUCUUGUGGAGCAUUCUUCUCUUUGGAACUAACACCUCUAGACCAGCAGAGAAUAAAGCAACAGGGGCACGAAACAUAAAAUUUUGCUGGUAAAUCACUGAGGAUAAUAAAUCACUGCCACUUCCAUUUCCAUCCAUUGAUUUCUACACUCAUGAUUCCUGGCUAUGGGAGCAACAACACCAUAUACUGGAUGCUGCUUUAGAGCAAAGGGCCUCCUGGAGAACAUUGCCUCAGACUUGCAAGGUAUUGGCACCUGGGUGUCACUAUACUGAGUCUUCAAAAGGCUCUUCCACCAUUCUAUCAAGCCAUCUGCUUCAGGAUAAUGGGGAACAUGGUAUGACCAGUGAAUUCCAUGAGCAUGGGCACACUGCUGCACCUUGUUUCCUGUGAAGUGAGUUCUUUGAUCAGAAGCGAUGCUAUUGGAAAACCAUGAUGUUGAACAAGACCAUACCUUCUGAUGGAGCAGCUGGUGCCACCCAUACCGGUAAACUGGGUCAUCUUGUAUUGUGGUUCUCACCCAGGAACUGAUUCAGGGCAAGAAGACAAGCUCUGACUCCUUAUGAUUUCAUCCCCAACACAAUCAGUCUGCAUUCUCCAUGACCUAGCCCCCUACACACCAAACUAUAUUUAAAUAACCCUAGCCUUCGAAUUUUGGGGAUGACUGAUUUGAGCAAAAAACACUGGUCUUUUUCUCAUCCAGCUCUGCAUUUAAUAAACUUUCUCUAUUGCAAAAAUCUGCUAUGUUAGUGCAUUAGCUUUUCUGGGCAGCAGGCAAAAUGAACCUGUCAGGUAAUUACAGAAUCAGUACAUAAUUGCACAUCUGGCCAUUUCUCACUUCAAAUAGAGUGAUGCACUCUUCAAGUUCUGCCCUCUGGGAGGGUUUCCCUUUCCCGUGUCUCUCAGGGAUGUCCAAGAAAGGGGAUGUAGUGCUGCAGCUGUCCACUUUGGAUAGUGCCUGUGUAUUGUGUAGAACCAUCUGUAAAUCAGGCUGGAGUUUUUUCUACUUCAGUCAACUGAUUAUAGAAAACUCCCCAUGAGGCCACAGGUGCAGGCUGGGAGAGAAGAUAACAGAUGAAGUGGGAACCUUGGACAUUUGAGCUACUUCCUCAUGUAACUUACUUGUGCCUUUGAGGCCUAUUGAAGCUUAUGUUUGUAUAUAACACUUCCAUGUGAUGAUGCUAUGCUGCUGUAUAUGUCCAACUUGUGGCUUGGCAGGUUAGAUCACACCCAGGCCAUGAUGGGAGCUCAGGUCCCAUGGUAACUCGGUGGUCCAUGGUUAGGCAAUCAGUCUAAGGUCCGAUAGCAAGGCAAAAAAAAAAAAAAAAAAAAAAAAAAACAGCGGCCAGGCAUGGUGGCUCAUGCCUGUAAUCCCAGCACUUUGGGAGGCUGACGCGGGUGGAUCACGAAGUUAGGAGUUCAAGAUCAGCCUGGUCAACAUAGUGAAACACCAUCUCUGCUAAAAAUACAAAAUAAUUUACCAGGUGUGGUGGUGGGCACAUGUAAUCCCAGCUACUUGGGAGGCUGAGGCAAGGAGAAUUGCUUGAACCAGGGAGGCGGAGGUUUCAGUGAGCUGAGGUCACGUCACUGCACUCUAGCCUGGGUGACAGUGUGAGACUCUGUCUCAAAAACAAAACAACAACAACAACAACAACAAAAACACACAAAGAAAACACAACUAUUUCUCAAGGGAAGAGAAGUUAUCUGCAGAGGAAGGCAGGGCUUUGCUUCAAAAUCCUAAAGACUACUUUGUGAUUCACCUACAGGGACCUGCCAAAGAUUCCAAAUAGAGUCACUAUUUGCCAAUAGCACUUCAAGCACCAUUGGAUCUGCUGAAUCAUAUAAUGGAAGUUGCAGAGCAGCUUGCACAGCAUCUUGGACUUGUUACAGAGCCUUCUCUUGUUCUGGGUGCCAUUCAAAGCUAGCUGUUUGUUGGGUCACUUGGUAAAUGGGCCAAACUAACAUACCCAAACAAGGAAUAUAUUGCCUCUAAAAUCGAAAGAGGCCAACUAAUCAUUAUGCCUCUUUUUCGGUUGUAGGAGAGGCCAGAAUGCAACAAAUUAUCCUUCACCUUAGAAGGGAUAACUCAGCAUGCCUCACACCAAUGGAACCCUAGAAAUUUCACUGAUGUGGAAGACCCUAAAUUUUUUUCAGAUAUAUUUCCCACCCUCAACAUGCAAAUAUGUUACAAAUAAGUCUAGAGUAGUUGCUACUUGUUGCUCACUAGGACCAAUCGGCAUAAUGUCACCAAUGUUAUGGACCCAUGUGAUAUCUUGUGGAAGAGAAAGAUAAAGUUUCUGAUAACAAAAUUAUGACAGAGGACUGGAGAGUUCAUAUAUCUCUGAUGUAGGAUAGUGAAGAAACAUUGCUGGAAUUGCCAGCCAAAAGCAAACUACUUCUUGUAGUCUUUACUAACAGUAUGGAGAGAAAAUGAAGUUCACCAGCUCAGUAGUUACAUACCAGGUGCCAGGGGGUGUGCUAAUUUGCUCAAGCAAGGAGAUCACAUCUGGAAUAGCAGCUGCAUUUGGAAUCACCAACUGGGUAAGUUUACAGUUACACAUGCUCAUCUGCCAAGAUCUAUCUGUUUUCUGUGCAGGUCAAGUGGGAAUAUGGUUGGAAUCACCACCCCUGCAUCCUUUCAUUUUAAAAUGUUGUCAUUAGUCUCUGGAAUCAUCCUCCCAGGAAGAUGGGACUGCUUUUGACUCACUAUUUUUAUAGGUAUAGACAGUUGUAGUGGCUUCCACUUGGCAUUGCUCACCAUAAUAACCAUCACUUCACAGGUCAGAAAACUGAUGUGGGGAUUCUGCCAGCUGCUGAUUGUGUUUAUUCCAAUUACGCAUUCUGGAACUGGGGAAAUCACCAUAGAAUAGGUGUGGGGACUCACUGUACCCACUGUGAGAUGAGUCUAAGAUAAAGCACCUGACUUUCAUGAUGUUGUGGCCAAAUAUCAUCUGGCCACAGUGAUAUUUUGAGUGUCUUAUAAUUGGUGUCAGUUCAGAGGCAGUGUUCUGUAAUUUCUUCAAAAUCUGAUUCUUUCCUUGUUCCCAGUGUACACUAACUAAUAUGGUAAAAGUAGGGUAGAGAAGGCUAAGAGAAAGAUUAACAGUAUACAUUUUUGGCAGUAUAGUGGUGCCCCUCCUCAAAGGGACCCAGUCUCCCCUUUGUUCAUGAGGUUCUGGGUCUGUUAACUGGCUUCAGUUUACGAGGCCAUGGCUCUCUAUGUUGAUGAUUCAAGUUAGACUUUUGUUCACUUGACCUAGUACCCUUCCACUUUGAUUAUAUCACUAUGCAAUCUAUGCAUGUCACAGAUUUACACAUGCACCCCAUAAAUUUAUUUUUAAAAGAUCAAGUAAGAUUAUAUACUGCUCAUCUAUUUGACUUCCAGGGACACCAUGAUCAAUUAGCCAAUGCCAUAGGUCUCUGCAAGUCAGACUAUGUUGAUUACUGCUCUGACUCUGCUGUCUGUUAUGGUAACCAUGCCCACCUUGUCUUUGGCAAUUAAGUGCUGUCACUUGGCCUUACCACCCUGCAAUUCAGUUAUCCCCAUUAGACUUAAGGAUCCCACCUCAGUUGUGGCCGUUAUCACUAUAAUGCUUUACCUCCAAAGAGCAACCUCCUAGCUCUUCAAGGAUGCUGGAGGUCCUCUCAUAAAUUUAUUCCUCACAGUCCUGGUAAAAGGUGUGUACUCUGGGAGGGCGAGCAGGUUUUACGUGGUAAAUACACUCUAACAUUUUACUCUCCUUAACCUUUAGAUACCUUCUUCUACAGUGUAUCAAAGUAGUUCUGGCAUAUAUCCUUCAUUUAAUACAGGACACCUUUUGUUCUGUGUUUCAGCCAGCUAAUCAAGUCAGACUAUUGGAGCCUUUCUAAUACCCUGAGCUGCAACAUUUAAUCCAUAAUCUCUGCUUAACAGACCAAUACCAAUACAUUUAUCCUCACCCAACUUCAUGUUUCUUUCACCAUUUUUCCACAUCCUUAAUAUCAAUUCCUACAAAUAUUCUCCUAAUCUCUGACUAUAUAAAUUGAAAACAUCAUAUAGUUCUAGAAUGCAGUGCAUCUCCUCAUGUCACACUUUGUAUCUAAUGUUUUGGGGCCUGUAGAGACUUGAGUCUAGUUAGAGGUCUAGAACCAAAGAUGGAUGGUGGCAGCAGAUUCUGAGAAGACCCAGCAGUGUCUUGCAAGAUAACUGCCUCAGGGUAAGCUGGCAGUUCCUCAGCAAAGCAGGAGUAAUCUUAUAUGGGGGAAGCACUGCUUCUACUUACAAAAAUGACUCAUCAGAAUUUAGGGGUUCAAGGGCCCCACUUUUAUCAGGAGCUUUGCAAUGUCUUCAUUCAAAUUCUCAAGAUUUCAUUCCAUCCCAAGUAAUGUCUUCUCUGUGAGGCUGUGAAUUCAAUUUGUGUUGUAAUUCAGCCACUUGCAGGAUGAGACUCUGGGUUUGGUUAUCAGUAAUCUCAGCUCUGCAGCUAUGGGAGGGUUUCUUUCAGGACAGACAUAGAAACUUCCUGGUUAUUUAUGCAGCACUUGUGCUGGGAAUUUGAAGCCAUGAGAUUAUCUUUUUUCCCCCCAAUUUAUCUAGUACAACUAGGAGGAACCAGCCACUCUCAUUAUAUUCAUUAAUUUGACAAAAAUGUUCUAAGGUAUUAUGGUCCCUCAGGGUCUUAUAAAUAUUUUAUUAGUAAUAUGCAUUGGUGAUAUUUUGUGUAUCUCCAUUGCCACACCACACCACAUACUAUCAAUGUGCUCUUUACUACUGAAAAUAGAGUCAUUAGUGCCUUUAAAGCUAACCAGAUUAGAAAACCAAUUUCAGAAACCUUAGAAUCACUUCCAAGAACUGAUCAUUAAGAUUAGAUUUUUCUAGAACCACUAUGUCCAACAAUCUGUAACAGUCAGGGUUAUCUAGAAAAACAUAACCAAAAGGGUAGAGAUUAAGAUGUUAAGGAAUGGGUGCAUGUGUUUAUGGGACUUGUGUCUAAAGUCCACAGUACAGGCCAACUGCUAGAAACUCAGGCAAAAUUUGAAGUUGUAGUGUGGAAUAUCAAAUCUGUAAGAUAAGACAUCAGCCUUGAAACUCAAGCAGUGUUGGUAUGUUACUGUCUUGAGGCAGAAUUCCCUUUUCAAGAAAACAUCAUUUUUGCUCUUUAGGCUGGUCACAUGAGGCCCACCCACAUUUCUGAUGGUAAUCUUUAUCACUCAAAGUCAAUCAAUUGCAUAUUAAUAACGUCUACAAAAUAUCUUUACUGCAAUGUCUAGACUAGUGUUUGAUGAAACAAUUCAGCACUGUAUCUUAACCAAUUUGACACACAAGAUCAACCAUCCCAACACCUAAAAUUCAAAAUCAUGUGCUAAACAGUCACAUGGAAAUGCCUUCAAUAUCAAAAGUUUUUAGGAUUCAACAGUUUACCUAUAAUUAUGGAAGAUAGGCUAUGGAUAUCCUAACUACCUAUUUAUUUUAAUGCUCUUUUUU
rnacentral:lncRNA from 10 species